rnacentral:rRNA from 1 species
UCAGUAACACGUAGUCAACAUGCCCAGGGGUACGUGGAUAACCUCGGGAGACUGAGGAUAAACCGCGAUAGGCCAUGAUUUCUGGAAUGGUUCAUGGCCGAAACCUAUAUGGUCCCCUGGAUUGGACUGCGGCCGAUCAGGCUGUUGGUGAGGUAAUGGCCCACCAAACCUGUAUACCGGUACGGGCUCUGAGAGGAGGAGCCCGGAGAUGGGCACUGAGACAAGGGCCCAGGCCCUAUGGGGCGCAGCAGGCGUCGAAAUCUCUGCAAUAGGCGAAAGCUUGACAGGGUUACUCUGAGUGGUUCCCGUUAAGGGGUAUCUUUUGGCACCUUUAAAAAUGGUGCAGAAUAAGGGUGGCAAGUCUGGUGCCAUCC